rnacentral:rRNA from 1 species
GGCUCAGGACGAACGGCUGGCGGCGUGCCUAACACAUGCAAGUCGAACGGACGAGAGGAGCUUGCUCCUCAAGUUAGUGGCGGACGGGUGAGUAACACGUGAGCAACCUGCCCUUCGAGGGGGACAACAGCUGGAAACGGCUGCUAAUACCGCAUGAUACAGCGGGGAGGCAUCUCCUUGCUGUCAAAGAUUUUAUCGCCGAAGGAUGGGCUCGCGUCUGAUUAGAUAGUUGGUGAGGUAACGGCCCACCAAGUCAACGAUCAGUAGCCGGACUGAGAGGUUGAACGGCCACAUUGGGACUGAGAUACGGCCCAGACUCCUACGGGAGGCAGCAGUGGGGAAUAUUGGGCAAUGGGGGGCAACCCUGACCCAGCAACGCCGCGUGAAGGAAGAAGGCUUUCGGGUUGUAAACUUCUUUGACGAGGGACCCGAUAGUGACGGUACCUCGAAAACAAGCCACGGCUAACUACGUGCCAGCAGCAGC